AUGUAGGCUUUUGUUUACCGAGGGUUCGAAUCCCUCUCUUUCCG
rnacentral:tRNA from 1 species